rnacentral:rRNA from 1 species
CAGUCGCCGCGGUAAAACGAAGGGGGCUAGCGUUGUUCGGAAUUACUGGGCGUAAAGCGCACGUAGGCGGACAUUUAAGUCAGGGGUGAAAUCCCGGGGCUCAACCCCGGAACUGCCUUUGAUACUGGGUGUCUAGAGUAUGGAAGAGGUGAGUGGAAUUCCGAGUGUAGAGGUGAAAUUCGUAGAUAUUCGGAGGAACACCAGUGGCGAAGGCGGCUCACUGGUCCAUUACUGACGCUGAGGUGCGAAAGCGUGGGGAGCAAACAGGAUUAGAUACCCCUGUAGUCCCUGUCUCUUAUAC